rnacentral:rRNA from 1 species
GAUGAACGCUGGCGGCGUGCCUAACACAUGCAAGUCGAGCGAAGCGGGGACGGGUGAGUAACACGUGGAUAACCUCCUAUAAGACUGGGAUAACUCUGGGAAACCGGAGCUAAACCCGUUACUUCCAGACGGAUCUUCGCUGCAUUAGCUAGUUGGUAAGGUAACGGCCUACCAAGGCAACGAUGCAUAGCCGACCUGAGAGGGUGAUCAGCCACACUGGAACUGAGACACGGUCCAGACUCCUACGGGAGGCAGCAGUAGGGAAUCUUCCACAAUGGGCGAAAGCCUGACGGAGCAACGCCGCGUGAGUGAUGAAGGUCUUCGGAUCGUAAAGCACUUUUAUUGGGGAAGCGGUACCUAAUCAGAAAGCCACGGCUAACUACGUGCCAGCAGCCGCGGUAAUUC